CAGCCCCGCGGGAAUACGGAGGGAGCUAGCGUUGUUCGGAAUUACUGGGCGUAAAGCGCGCGUAGGCGGUUACUCAAGUCAGAGGUGAAAGCCCGGGGCUCAACCCCGGAACUGCCUUUGAAACUAGGUGACUAGAAUCUUGGAGAGAUCAGUGGAAUUCCGAGUGUAGAGGUGAAAUUCGUAGAUAUUCGGAAGAACACCAGUGGCGAAGGCGACUGACUGGACAAGUAUUGACGCUGAGGUGCGAAAGCGUGGGGAGCAAACAGGAUUAGAUACCCGUGUAGUCCCUGUCUCUUAUACC
rnacentral:rRNA from 1 species